rnacentral:rRNA from 1 species
AUUGAACGCUGGCGGCAUGCUUUACACAUGCAAGUCGAACGGCAGCACGGGAGCUUGCUCCUGGUGGCGAGUGGCGAACGGGUGAGUAAUGCAUCGGAACGUACCCAGUAGUGGGGGAUAGCCCGGCGAAAGCCGGAUUAAUACCGCAUAUUUCCUGAGGGAGAAAGCGGGGGACCUUCGGGCCUCGCGCUACUGGAGCGGCUGAUGUCGGAUUAGCUAGUUGGUGAGGUAAAGGCUCACCAAGGCGACGAUCCGUAGCUGGUCUGAGAGGAUGAUCAGCCACACUGGGACUGAGACACGGCCCAGACUCCUACGGGAGGCAGCAGUGGGGAAUUUUGGACAAUGGGGGCAACCCUGAUCCAGCCAUGCCGCGUGAGUGAAGAAGGCCUCGGUUGUAAAGCUCUUUCAGGUGGAAAGAAAUACACUACCCCGAAUAACCGGGUGGUGGAGUGACGGUACCAUCAGAAGAAGACACCGGC